AUCCAGCUAACGAGUCCCAAAUAGGACGAAAAGAGUGUUCUGGAU
rnacentral:hammerhead_ribozyme from 1 species